rnacentral:lncRNA from 1 species
AGCCAAAAAAAAAAAAAAAAAAAAAAAAAANAAAGAAAGGGGGGAAAAGAUGGUGGGAGGAGAAAUAAGAGAUAGCUGAUUCCUUUUGGGUAAUGCAUCCAUCCAGCAGUGGCUUCAACUCCAUCCACAACUGGCAUAUGCUCCCUUAACAGAUUAGCCAUUAAGUAGUUUGGCUCUUGACAGAGAAAACAAAGUUCCUCAGCCUUGGGAUAAACCUUACACAUAGAGAAAAACAGUAUGUCCUGAAAGGCUACAGUAUGUCCUGAACAGCUGCAAGAAAAAAACAUGGAAGGAAGAGAACAAUAUACCAGAGGACAUACUAGCAGAGCAGGUGAGACCGCAGAAGAGGAAACAGGUUAGUUUUAUUCUUAGGCAGAAAGAGUUUUGAGCUCAAAAGAGAGCAUUUAUCCUACACAGUUAUCAAGAUCUUUCUUCUAGGUGUGAUGCCAGAGAGUGAGUCAGACAAGGCAAUUGAUUGACAAAACACAUCACUGCCUGGACAGGAGGAGGCCCCAGAAUAGAAACAAAGGAAGCUGCUUUCAUACACUCUAGCCCAGGUUCUAAAGAGGAAAAGGCCCUGCUUCUGUAUUGGUUAUUCAUGCAAGCCAAACAAUUUUCCCCAGUUUCCUGAACAGCAACACUCAGCAACAGGAGAGAAAUCUCUUUCUGCAGACAUGUUCAACAAGCAAGGUUUAAUGUAAGUGAUGCUUUGAAACCAGUUGCACAAAAUUUUGAUGGCUACUGUUUUAUUUUCCUAAGGGUUAGCAGUGUGUUGUUUAAAUCUUUUU